UACGAAGGGGGCUAGCGUUGUUCGGAAUUACUGGGCGUAAAGCGCACGUAGGCGGGCGAUUAAGUCAGGGGUGAAAUCCCGGAGCUCAACUCCGGAACUGCCUUUGAUACUGGUCGUCUAGAGAUCGGAAGAGGUGAGUGGAAUUCCCAGUGUAGAGGUGAAAUUCGUAGAUAUUGGGAAGAACACCAGUGGCGAAGGCGGCUCACUGGUCCGAUACUGACGCUGAGGUGCGAAAGCGUGGGGAGCAAACAGGG
rnacentral:rRNA from 1 species